CAUUAGCAGACAGGCUGCCGCUGUGCCACUCGAGAGCCACACUCAGCUUUGAGGUGUAAGCCUCCCACCGUCCAGGAGCAGAGUCUGGAGUUCCACCCCAACACCACAGAUAUUUAGCUGCUGAUCACAAUGUCUGUGUGGACAGCUCAUGGACUGGUUACCAGUGACUUAACACAUCAGCCACGUACAAUUCACUAACACACUCUAAAAUGGGGGAUCCUCAAAAACAGCUUUAAAAUAGGGAGGAGACAUGCCGCUGAAAGUGAAGAAGAUGGAAGAGAGUAGGAUUCGUCAUUUUAAAUCCUGGAUGAUGACAGAUCAGGCAGCUCAUUUAACAACUGAAAUAUACUUUGC